CCGAGUUUACAACUCCCAAACCCCUGUGAACAUACCACUUGUUGCCUCGGCGGAUCAGCCCGCUCCCGGUAAAACGGACGGCCCGCCAGAGGACCCCUAAACUCUGUUUCUAUAUGUAACUUCUGAGUAAAACCAUAAAUAAAUCA
rnacentral:misc_RNA from 1 species